GAGAAAACUGAAACAUCAGACUGUAAAUUUAUGUGCCUUUUUUCUGCAUCCUAGGAAAAGAUUUUGAAGAUGCACCAGCUUCAAAGGAAGCUAAAGAAGAAACUGAAGAUGUAUCUUCCUCAAAGAAUCAGAAAACCCCUAUCAGUUUCUUCCAGUGUGUCUAUUUGGAUGGGUACAAUGGCUACGGAUUUCAGUUUCCUGUCUCUCCAGCACCACGCCCUGGGGAGAACAGCGGCAAAGCCAGUUCUCCAGGACAGAAGCGACAAGGACAGUAGACAGCUCGUGCGGGACCCUUACAAGUGCUCUGUGAUUGGGAAAACGGGAUCUCAUCUGGCCCACGGUGAUCCAGGAGAUUGAAGGCAUGCCAUCCUGAUAGCCUUUGAGACACUUUUCUCUUGUGCCUGGUGUAGAGACCAGAUGUGGGCAAAGGGACUGAAUAGUACGCAAACUUGUGGAAGGGUCUGACGCUGAAAAUCUGUCAUUAGUGUUCGCUGUAUGAGAGGUGCCGCUUGCAUUUUUCUGUUUCCAUUCACUGCAAGGUUGUACACAAAGUUUACUUCAUACUGGUCAUUUUCAAUGUGAUUAACAUAUUUACAGAAUGAAAUUCUUGGCUUCAGUAGAUACUGGUUUUGUAAAGGUAACAUAGACUGCGCUCUAGUUUAAAGGAUACAGGAGCUUAGGUGAAAGACUCUUUUGUAUCAUGUGGUAUCUGAACUCAACUUAUGUAACAAGUGAGUUCUGAAUAGUUUCAUUCUAUUUGUGUCUAUCCCUCUUGUAGGGGUGGUAAUACUGCAGAAAUGUCCAGGAGCUACAGCAGAGUGCUGUAGGUUCCUUGUGAUUCUCUUAUGCUGAGGAUAUCUCUGAACUUUAGAGUCAGUGAGAUGAAGAGUCAACGCUGGAUGAAUCUUGCCUCUAAGAUUCGUCUUGAGCUACAGUUAACACAUUCACACCAGCCAGGCAACACAACAGGCAAGUCUGUUGCAUCGUUUGUUUCAAAUAUAAGCAAAUGACACGUAGAAACUUUAGAUUUCUCCAGACUAUGCCCUAAUGACGAUGUCAUCUAUGUGAAGCUUCAGAUCAUGAAAUAUGGAUGACAAAAGUAAAAAUAUUUUCAGUUCGUGGAAGUGUUCACACUCUUUCUAUGAAAUUAAAGGCUUUCUUUUUCAAAAUGGAAAAAUAUGAGAGCCACCAAACUUUAAAGAAGACAUUUGAAUUGUGGAUGCUUUCAUGCUUUACCAGCAUUUAAGGCAAUUGAUAAUCAGCACCUAUGAAAUCAACAGUUUUGACUUCACAGGAAAUGACAAUUAUGGUUUUGUCUAGUGAUAGAAAUAUGUUCUUUACAAAGUUUUGCUAUCAGCUCUUAAGGUCAUGUUUCUGUGAUCUCUUAUAAUGUUUACAGUUGCAAAACCUUAUGACAAAGUAACUCAGGAAAUACAUUAUUUUUUCUGGCAUUAUAAUUAUCUUCAUCAAAGGCUGACCUUGCCAGAUCCUAUAUUAUCCAGGUGAAUUAUUUUCAAUGACUGCAACUAGCUAUGGUUCUGAACACUCAAGUGAUCAGUCAGCUUUGCUAAAAACCUUUAACCUAGGAUAUCUUAUACUUUCAUUAUUAAAAAUGGAUUUGAGUGAGUUUUGUGAAAGAAGUUGCUCUCGGCCAUCUGGCAGAGCUAAUUCAUACCACAAAAACCAACAGCACAAUGAACUGGAUUAAUGACACUCUUUUAUGGGGGCGUAUCCUGGGAGUAAUUUCAGGGCUGACUUACAAAGCCCCUUCAUGUAGCUGGAUAAACUUAUGAGCAGGACAGUGAGCAGAGGUUAAUGUUGAAUUGCUCUUCUGCCUGUUCAACUCAACUGGAAAAGGAAUAGAGUGUAAAUACAGUAACUAUUUUAAAUUUCAUAGAACAGAAUGGCGUACCAUCAAACGGUUAAGGUUCACUGACAAGUGGGCAUCUGACUCUACACUGUCAGGCAACAGACUGUGUAAGACACACACAAAGCAAUAUAUUCUGUCACCAGUGACCUCGACCUUGGAAGGUUUACUAUGUGGACUGUGUUCAUUUCUUCAAGUGUAAAACAGGGCUGUGACUUCACACAGCCUAAUACUUCACACAGAAAUGUGAGGAAUGAUCAAGUAGCUUGCUGUGUCUAUGACAUCGGGAU
ensembl:lincRNA